UGCUCUAAUUCUCUGAGCAAAAGGCUGAAGAAACCAUAUGACAAGAAUACGUGAAGGCUUCUCCAGUCUGUCCCUUUUAGAUGCCAUUGCUUUGAGCAGGACCCAGGCACACUCCUGCCUGCUCUGCCUCUUUGAAAGGGCAGUAUUAGGAGAGUGAUCUCAUCAGGGCCACACGAACCUGGUCCUUUGGCUAGGGGCCUGGGCCAAACCCCACCCCCUGGCACACCUGGUCAGGCAGGUAUAAAAGAGGGAACCAGCUUCAGCUCCCACAGCAGCUUCUCUCUGGCAUCAUGCAUUCUACUGGCCUCUUCUCCCUUCUCCUGCUCCUGGUUCUUGGGACCCUGAUGUCUGAGGCUACCAAAGCCACAACUCCUAUUAAAGGACUUCCUCCUCAACAAACACUCAUCAAAGGUCUUGUCACAUCGAAGGACUCUUCCACGAGCAAGCCUCAUCCUAUUAAGGGAUCUUCCAACAAAUUCAGUGGUUCAACCAAGUUUCAUUCUUCAAUCAACCUUCCUAUAACCAAAAGCCUAAGUUCUGGGAAGUCAGGUAAAGUUCAUAUGUGAUGCCAUGGAGUGUUGGAGCUCACUGAAGCUCUCUCCUGCCUUCCAGUUUUCUCCUUUGUAUCUCUGAGUGGAAGAAGCUUUCUCCUUCCCAAAGUCCUUUCUUUUAAUCACUAAUAAAGAUGCCAAAUUCCCCUGCA
rnacentral:lncRNA from 1 species